rnacentral:hammerhead_ribozyme from 1 species
AUCCAACUGACGAGUCCCAGAUAGGACAAAACCCUCGUCCUGGAU